rnacentral:rRNA from 1 species
UUCCGGUUGAUCCUGCCGGACCUGACUGCUAUCGGAUUGAUACUAAGCCAUGCGAGUCAUUGUAGCAAUACAAGGCAGACGGCUCAGUAACGCGUAGUCAACCUAACCUAUGGAUGGGAAUAACCUCGGGAAACUGAGAAUAAUGCCCAAUAGAACACUAUACCUGGAAUGGUUUGUGUUCCAAAUGAUUUAUCGCCGUAGGAUGGGACUGCGGCCUAUCAGUUUGUUGGUGAGGUAAUGGCCCACCAAGACUAUUACAGGUACGGGCUCUGAGAGGAGUAGCCCGGAGAUGGGUACUGAGACACGGACCCAGGCCCUAUGGGGCGCAGCAGGCGAGAAAACUUUGCAAUGUGCGAAAGCACGACAAGGUUAAUCCGAGUGAUUUGUGCUAAACGAAUCUUUUGUUAGUCCUAGAAACACUAACGAAUAAGGGGUGGGCAAGUUCUGGUGUCAGCCGCCGCGGUAAAACCAGCACCUCAAGUGGUCAGGAUGAUUAUUGGGCCUAAAGCAUCCGUAGCCGGCUCUGUAAGUUUUCGGUUAAAUCUGUAUGCUCAACAUACAGGCUGCCGGGAAUACUGCAGAGCUAGGGAGUGGGAGAGGUAGACGGUACUCGGUAGGAAGGGGUAAAAUCCUUUGAUCUAUUGAUGACCACCUGUGGCGAAGGCGGUCUACCAGAACACGUCCGACGGUGAGGGAUGAAAGCUGGGGGAGCAAACCGGAUUAGAUACCCGGGUAGUCCCAGCUGUAAACUAUGCAAACUCAGUGAUGCAUUGGCUUGUGGCCAAUGCAGUGCUGCAGGGAAGCCGUUAAGUUUGCCGCCUGGGAAGUACGUACGCAAGUAUGAAACUUAAGGAAUUGGCGGGGGAGCACCACAAGGGGUGAAGCCUGCGGUUCAAUUGAUUCAACGCCGGA